CCAUACUCUACUUUCCUACUCUCUCUGCAGGAUGUGCUCAGCUAAGAUGCUUUGUUAUAGGUCUGCUUCCUGAAUCAGACUUUUAAGAAACAGGAAGAAGGGUGUAAGAAAAGGCCUUGAGUAAACGUUAGAGUAAAAACCUGCAUUGGCCCAUCUCAGUCCUUCCCAGCUGGAAGCACUGUGGUUCUGCAAGAAGACAGCAGAGCUGGCAGGGAAAGAGGUUGGAACAGAAAAUGAGCUGAAACGUAAAGACAGAUAAAGGUGCUUGCAGAUCUACACACAGGAGUGCUUCCUCUUUCAUGCUCUUCUCCUCACCUGUGAGUGCCAGCAAUGUGAACGCAAACAAUCGUUUUUAUGGACACUGAAAAACAAGUAAUUAUGGAAUAAAAGCCCUUCUGUUUCUGCUGGCAGUGGAUGAAAUGACAGGAACCUUAAUUAUGCUCAAAUUCACGGUAAUAUAGAAUUCAGGAAGUGAGAAAAUCAUCAGGGCUUAAAAAAUGGGCUUUUUUAUGAUGUGAAAUUGUUCUGGACGUGGGCCAAAUCCACUCAUCAGUGAUGCUGAUGUAAAUUAAUAGAAGCAGUGUUUACUUACAGCGAAACCUUAACUUGCAUGUUAACUCGUGUAACUCAAAGUGUAACUUGAAGCACAGUUUGCACUUACCCCAAUGGGAAGGUAAUUUUCACCAGCUGUCUAAUUGCAUGUAAAGCAACUAAACAAUUGUCCUCCAUGUCUUUGCAAUUUGAAUUCAGCGCCGGAUCUGAACUGUGGUCCUCACAUACCUCUGAGAAAGGCUUCUUGAUACCAUAAAGAGAUGUAGUCUCUGAAAAUCUGAAUCCCAGAGGUUGAAGUCCAUAAUCAAAUGUCAUGUCCUGAGCCUCUCUCAGUAGAAAUGAGAGGGAACCCAGCAAUCCAACGAGAAAAACAGCAUGAAACUCAAAUACAGCCAAAUGGCCAAUAAUGCCACCAAAGUGAGUCAAAGAGAUGCUGAUCAGAGAGCUGUGUCAGAAGGCAUAUUUCAAACAGCUCUCCACUUUUGCCUGAUUUAAAUAUGUCUAGUCACUUUCUAAAUCAUAUUAAUUUAUAAAAUAUUAGACACAUCAUUUUGAAGUGUGAAUCGAAGUGUAGAGAACAACAUUUUCAGCAAUGAAUUCCUGAGCGUGGUCUGUGAAGUUUGCAAUUGUACCUGUCACCAUGUUUUUUACUGAGAGGCUUUUAAAAGUGCUGAUAAUUGACCUUGGAAUUGAGAAGGAAAAAGGAAAAAAAAGAAAAAUGAAAUGUGGUGGAAUGGUUGGAGCUGGGGUCAGUUUCUGGGUGACAUGAGCAAGCCACUUCAAUCUAGUGCAAGCAUUGGAGGUUUUGUGGUUGUUAAUAUAUAUUAUGUUAAUAUAUAUUAUGUUAAUAUAUCACAUCAAUCAGUAAGAGAUGAUAUAUUUUUAUGAAGUAUCAUUAUAAAACUUUUUGUUAAGUGAAAUGGUCUCUGGGAAGGGUAACCUAUAUAUGUGUUCAUUACAGUAUUACCUAUCUAGAGCUGUACAUGGCAUUCCUAAACUUCCCAGCCCAAUAUCUCAGUGAAACACGUUGGAAUAAUUAAAAAGCCAGUUGUUUCAGUGAUUGACUGGUGCUGAAAAAAAAAAUAGAUUUUCAUUAUAUCUAAUUCCAUUUUUCAAUAUGGAUAAUAUUAAACAGAACUACUCCUUAUUUCCCAGGUCACAAACUGGGAUUCUGAUGCCAGCUGGAGACAUUCAAAUUAUCUCUAUAUUAAAAAGACCAGACCUUUGAGAUAAACCAUGAAAA